CCUACGGGUGGCAGCAGUGAGGAAUAUUGGUCAAUGGCCGUAAGGCUGAACCAGCCAAGUCGCGUGAAGGAUGACGGCUCUAUGGGUUGUAAACUUCUUUUAUAAGGGAAUAACACUAGCCACGUGUGCCUUUUUGCAUGUACUCUAUGAAUAAGCAUCGGCUAACUCCGUGCCAGCCGCCGCGGUAAUACGGAGGAUGCGGGCGUUAUCCGGAUUUAUUGGGUUUAAAGGGAGCGUAGAUGGUUUGUUAAGUCAGUUGUGAAAGUUUGCGGCUCAACCCUAAAAUUGCAAUUGAUACUGGAAGUCUUGAGUACGGUUGAGGUAGGCGGAAUGCGUGGUGUAGCGGUGAAAUGCAUAGAUAUCACGAAGAACCCCGAUUGCGAAGGCAGCUUACUAAGCUGUGACUGACACUGAUGCACGAAAGUGUGGGUAUCAAACAGGAUUAGAUACCCCAGUAGUC
rnacentral:rRNA from 1 species